rnacentral:rRNA from 1 species
UACGUAGGGACCGAGCGUUUGUCCGGAAUCAUUGGGCGUAAAGAGCGUGUAGGCGGCCUUUUAAGUCCUGCGUGAAAUCUUGCGGCUCAACCGCAAGCGGUCGUGGGAAACUGGGUGGCUAGAGUGCGGGAGAGGAGAGUGGAAUUCCUGGUGUAGUGGUGGAAUGCGCAGAUAUCAGGAAGAACACCCGUGGCGAAGGCGGCGUC